rnacentral:rRNA from 1 species
GAUGAACGCUGGCGGCGUGCCUAAUACAUGCAAGUCGAGCGAACAGACGCGGAGCUUGCUCCUCUGACGUUAGCGGCGGACGGGUGAGUAACACGUGGAUAACCUACCUAUAAGACUGGGAUAACUUCGGGACACCGGAGCUAAUACCGGAUAAUAUAUUGAACCGCAUGGUUCAAUAGUGAAAGACGGUUUUGCUGUCUCUUAUCGCUGGAUACGCGCCGCAUUAGCUAGUUGGUAAGGUAAAGGCUUACCAAGGCAACGAUGCGUAGCCGAGCUGAGAGGGUGAUCGGCCACACUGGAACUUGGACACGGUCCAUACGCCUACGGGAGGCAGCAGUAGGGAAUCUUCCGCAAUGGGCGAAAGCCUGACGGAGCAACGCCGCGUGAGUGAUGAAGGUCUUCGGAUCGUAAAACUCUGUUAUUAGGGAAGAACAAAUGUGUAAGUAACUAUGCACGUCUUGACGGUACCUAAUCAGAAAGCCACGGCUAACUACGUG